rnacentral:rRNA from 1 species
AUUUAUCGGAGAGUUUGAUCCUGGCUCAGGACGAACGCUGGCGGCGUGCCUAAUACAUGCAAGUCGAGCGGACAGAUGGGAGCUUGCUCCCUGAUGUUAGCGGCGGACGGGUGAGUAACA